rnacentral:lncRNA from 1 species
CGAACAGGUAUCCGUAGUAAUUUCACUCGGAUUCCCGCGCUCCGUUACUAGCAUGUUACGCGCCUUUCGUGUAGAACAGGUGAGCCCUGUCUUACAUAUAAAUCUACACGUUCCGGGGCUCAUGCGGCAAUCGAGAUAUGCCGUUUCGAGUGACGACGAUUUAGGGGUUGCGUCGCGGGAAGGCGUAGGGCACGAAACAAGAAAGAGCUCGAGGAAAGAAAGACCCGGAGAAAGGGAGAGGGGAAAAAAACGGGGCCCAUUAACAUAGUGUGCGUAGGAGCCGUUUUAAGAUGAGAUCAUCGGGAACAAACAGGUGGUUGGGUCCCAGUUCGGGUUUGGCAAAAAUCAUGGCUCGGAGGUGAAGCACAGCCAAAUCCAUUUCCAAGUUGGUAGGACACCAUCUGCCGCUCGCUCUGUGAGAAACCCACUCCGGAGCGUAUUCCCACGGUUUGGACCCGGGCUCGGAGCUGCGAGCAGCCAAAGUGCACCUGCCAUUGGGGGUGCCCUCCCCAGUAUAUAAGCUCAGCCCCUCCACCCUGGCUCAUCAUUCCUGACCCGGACCUCUUGCUCGCUGGAGUUCGCUUUUUUUCCUCUCGCUCUCGUUCCGAGUUCCUUCGAGUCGCCUUUGCUCUUAUCAGCACGCUUCCGCGUCCAAGUUGAAGUGCUUUCGUCAUGUCUUUCACGAGCUCGUACCACGUGGAGUGCUUCUGUGAUAACUGCCAGAACAUGAAGAUCGACGCCUCGCAAACUUUCACCAAGAAGAAACCCCUCAAAUUCAAAUCGCUUUUGAAAUCCCUGCUGAAACGCCUGUUAGUCAAGUCCGACCCCAAGCCCGUGUACGCCGGCAAGGAGUUCGACUACCAGGGUCCCGAGAUGGACAACAUGCGCAACUACAUGCAGGACGAGAACAUGCGCAACUACAUGCAGGACGAGAACAUGCGUAACUACAUGCAAGACCAGAUGCUGGCCCUCACUCCCGAGGAAGAAGACAACCGGCAAAAUGAACUUGCUGAACUUCGCGAACAGAUCGUCGUGCUUUUGGUCCCUUCUCCGGCCUGGGGAGGGUACAACGUCCCCGACUGCGAUAUCUGCGCCAGGGGUGACUUCAACCCCCUCACAGUUCGACAGAUCCCGCAAGCUCAAAUCUAACCUCAUCGGUGGUAAGCCUGCUCAAUUGUACACAACGUCUUUCAUCGAUCCACUCAAGUUCAAUUUGCGUGUCUUCAAGCUCAAGUUCACUCCUCCUAUCAAGCUCAAGUUCAAUCUGAGCCUCCGUGAACUCGCGUCAUUGCAAUUUUCUUGAGAAGCAACAGCGCUUUUAGUUGUAAUCUACAGUGUCUUUCAUUAGGUUUAAGGUUAGGUUUAGGUUUUUAUUAGAUUCACUAGGUGCCAACUUUCUUUAUUUAUUCUCGUGGUAUAGGCUGUAAAUAUUUUAAUCUCGGUGCAUCGCAAAAUUUUACAACUUUUGCAAGUUCUGGUGCACUAGCUCAAAUUGUAGUAUCUCAUGAGUAUUAUCUCAGGUGCAUCUUUGCUCAAAUUUCAGUAUUCCAUUUGUUACAUCUCAAUUUUUAGCAUUUUCAUAUGUGUAUACAAGCCGCUUAAACAUUGAUUAAUUUUUCUGCAAUAAUUGACUGAUUUUAUUCAGCGUGCUAAAAAUUUCUCUCAUGUAGAAAGUUCGGGUGCAUUCCAACUCAUACUCACUUUUGUCUUUUUUUGUAUUUAAUUGCAUUCAUUCUCAGGAUCUUAUUUAAGUGUUUAUUUCGUGCAUCCAGUGACUCACUUUGAGUUGCACUUCCAGCUUUGGGUGCUAAGUUUGCAUUUUUAAUAAUUUCAAAACGUUUUGGUGACUAGACUGAUUAAUAUUUAUCAGCAUUUUCAUUUUUUUUUUCAAAUCGAAUUUUUUGAUGCAAUUUCAUGUUUAAUUAACAGAAUUGGUGCAUACAUUAUUUAUGCCUUCUUACAAAUUUCUCAUAUGAACGCUAAUUUCAAUCCAUUAUACAUUGAUUCAUUUUCCAUUACUUUCUGUAAUGCAACUUUUUUUACGUACAAAUUCGCAACAAAUAACAUUCAUCAUUGGUCCUUUCAUAUUUUGUGAUUCAUUUUUAAAGUUGCCGAUUUGAGCACCAAUUAUCCAAUUUUUUUAAUUCAAUUAAAUGCUCAUGUUCAAUAGUUGAACUUUUCUUAGCGUUUAUCCUUAAGCUUAUUUCAACUUCGAGUAUUUUCAACCAAGUUUUUUCAACUUCUCUAAUUUCCAUUCACGCCAGAAAAUGAAAUCUCUUAACUACUUAAAUUCUUUCAAUAUGUUUACUUACUUUUAACAAAUCUCUCACAAACUUCAGUAGAUAUGCUCAUUGUAAAUAAUUAUUCUCACGGUAUUCUUUUUCAUGUGAUUCGUUUGUUGUUGUUAUGUUGUUGAUCAAUUAAGAGAGUUUAAUUACCUACAUGUGUAAUCCAUAAACUGUGAUUUUUGUUGAAGAUACGUCUGUAUCUAACUUUUUGUAAGUUCUAGAUUCUUUAUCAUUUUCUUCGUAAGAGGGAAAUAUUUCAAUUCAUAAAUAAACAAAAAUUAUCUGAACUUCUAAUCUUAUAAUUUACAAUAUUCCUUAUUUCCUUACUGUUUUUUUUCU